rnacentral:rRNA from 1 species
GACGAACGCUGGCGGCGUGCUUAACACAUGCAAGUCGAGCGGUAAGGCCCUUUCGGGGUACACGAGCGGCGAACGGGUGAGUAACACGUGGGUGACCUGCCCUCAGCUCUGGGAUAAGCCUGGGAAACCGGGUCUAAUACUGGAUAUGACUCCAUGACGCAUGUUGUGGGGUGGAAAGCCUUGUGCGGCUGAGGAUGGGCCCGCGGCCUAUCAGCUUGUUGGUGGGGUGAUGGCCUACCAAGGCGACGACGGGUAGCCGGCCUGAGAGGGCGACCGGCCACACUGGGACUGAGACACGGCCCAGACUCCUACGGGAGGCAGCAGUGGGGAAUCUUGCGCAAUGGGCGAAAGCCUGACGCAGCGACGCCGCGUGAGGGAUGACGGCCUGGUU